rnacentral:misc_RNA from 1 species
AGCUUUUUUUUCUUUUUUCCCUCCAUGGUCUUCUCGCCAUCUGUGGCUUCACGCCCCUUCUUCGCAUCGGCGUUUCAAUCGCAAUUGUGGCAGUCGUCAUUUAUUCGUGUUUUCCGUGCUUUGUCGGAACGCACGCAAAACCAAUAGAUGCGGCCGGGCUGCACAAGCGACUGAAUCGCGAGAAAAUAUCGAGGGUUGGUACAAUUUUGUGAGCCUAGGCACCCACCCCUACACCACAUAGGAGAGCCUGAGGCACUUCUGCAGCCUGAACAGCACAGCAAAGCAUCUGAUCUUCACGCUGCGACAAGGUGCCCUGCAAGCUCUCACCCAAGCAACACAUUCCAAUGGUCUUCUGUCAGCAGACUUGGUGCAUCGAAGUACCAUUAGAAGGUCCAAUAAACAAAGCCUGUGGGAUGUAUGACAUGCUCUUGCUUAAACCGGAGGACUUCAGAAUUAAUGAAAACUGGAACCUGCAUAAAGCAUACUUAUCUUUCCUUUACAAGUGCAAGCAUUUACUUCAACUGACGUUUUUCCACCUCAAGAUUACGCUUUACUGUAGAUUUGAGCACAAACUAUUACAGCAACACAAAACUGCACUAAGACGAGUACAAGUGAUCGAGCAUAUAGUACACUUGCAAGAAUUACAUUUGCAUACUUGAAGCAAAUGUGCAAAUGAGGUACCAAUCUAUUUCAGGGUGCAUACUCUUUGUUAUACAUGGUGAAUGCACUCAUAGAUAAUACAAAACUCGUUCAUGAUCUAUUACGUCAGCAUUGGUUGUGCUAAUCCAUCUAUGCCGAAAAUUGGACUCAUCUUUGUAUCAGGGAACGUACCAGCAAACCUAUAUGUGACAGUGUCAUUCUUGGAGCAAAAAUAAUGCAGAUGUACUUGUCUUCAAGGCAGAUCACAAAUCCACAAGUUCACCAAAUAAGUUUAUAGAGUGAAGUCUAACCAUACUAAACGAACCUGGUCCGAAUGGGGGAAUA